GUGCCAGCAGCCGCGGUAAUACGAAGGGUGCUAGCGUUGUUCGGAAUCACUGGGCGUAAAGCGCGCGUAGGCGGCUUUUCAAGUCAGGGGUGAAAUCCCACAGCUUAACUGUGGAAUUGCCCUUGAAACUGUAAAGCUGGAGUGUCGGAGGGGAUGGCGGAAUUGCUAAUGUAGAGGUGAAAUUCGUAGAUAUUAGCAGGAACACCGGUGGCGAAGGCGGCCAUCUGGACGACAACUGACGCUGAGGCGCGAAAGCGUGGGGAUCAAACAGGAUUAGAUACCCUGGUAGUCCACGCUGUAAACGAUGGGUGCUAGCUGUUCGGGGGUUACCCCUGAGUGGCGCAGCUAACGCGUUAAGCACCCCGCCUGGGGAGUACGGUCGCAAGAUUAAA
rnacentral:rRNA from 1 species